rnacentral:rRNA from 1 species
GUGCCAGCAGCCGCGGUAAUACGGAGGGGGCUAGCGUUGUUCGGAAUUACUGGGCGUAAAGCGCACGUAGGCGGAUCAGAAAGUUGGGGGUGAAAUCCCNGGGGCUCAACCUCGGAACUGCCUUCAAAACUAUUGGUCUUGAGUUCGAGAGAGGUGAGUGGAAUUCCUGAGUGUAGAGGUGAAAUUCGUAGAUAUUCGGAGGAACACCAGUGGCGAAGGCGGCUCACUGGCUCGAUACUGACGCUGAGGUGCGAAAGCGUGGGGAGCAAACAGG